GUCUGCCAAGGUUGCAAAACGGAGGCACCAGAAAAAAGAGAAACAAAAAAAAGAGAGAGAAUUAGAGAGACGGUUUUAACAAUUCCUGUUUGACACAUCAGGCAGCUGCCAGGAGAGACAGCAAUGGGUCAUGCAGCACAGCAACGAUGAACAGCAAGGUCCAAACACCCGCCAGGGAUACAGAUGACCGUCCUUGAUUUGGGGCUCUCACCGGCAACAUCAGCUGGAGCUCCGCACGUCCACAGCUUCCGGUCGUCUGCACAGAGGAAGACCCGACGUCUCGGCAGCUAACUAACACAGCAACUCACUUUUUGCAGUGGAGAAACACGCUCCGUCUGUUGUAAACAUUCAUAUAGGCCCAUUCAAAAGCGACAUAAAAUGAGAACAGUUUGCAGUCCAACAUGUGAAAAAAAAACUCAAUAAACACAAGACAGCCUUUAACGAA